rnacentral:rRNA from 1 species
GGAGGGGGCAAGCGUUGUUCGGAUUGACUGGGCGUAAAGGGCGCGUAGGCGGAUGUGUAAGUUGGGGGUGAAAGGCCUGGGCUCAACCUGGGAAUUGCCUCCAAAACUACACGUCUUGAGUUCGGAAGAGGAUGGCGGAAUUCCCAGUGUAGAGGUGAAAUUCGUAGAUAUUGGGAAGAACACCAGUGGCGAAGGCGGCCAUCUGGUCCGACACUGACGCUGAGGCGCGAAAGCGUGGGGAGCAAACAGGAUUAGAUACCCUGGUAGUCCACGCCGUAAACGAUGUGUGCUAGCCCGUUGGGGCUUUUUGAGCUUCAGUGGCGCAGCUAACGCGAUAAGCACACCGCCUGGGGAGUACGGUCGCAAGAUUA